rnacentral:lncRNA from 1 species
UGAGUAAAAUUUUGUAUGUUAAUGGUUAUAAUUGUAUUUAAUAUGUAUUUUAAAUUUUAACUUAAUCUAAUAGUUGAAUUGAGGAUUAUUGAGGUUUAAGUGGAUUAGGAUCUCAGAAAGUAGAGUUUUAGGUGUACUAAGGAUUUCUAAGAUUUCUUGCAAUCUACAAAUUGGAUUGAAGUAAAAGUUAUGUGAGUGGAUAGAAGACUUGUUUUUCUACAUAUAUGAGAAUUUUGAGAUCAAUCGAAUAGUAUAAAAAGAAGCUGUUAGCACUAGAAGAUCAACAUUAAGGUUGAAAAAGAAGGCUAGCCAACAUCUGAGCAGACUUUAGGAUUUUUCUUCCAUUUGGUAAGUGCGAUUAUCUUUAAGUUUGUUGUACUUAUUUAUAUCAAGAAAUUAAGAGGUAUAUAAAUUUUUAAAAAUAUCAACGGUUUAAUCAAAAGAUACUAAGAUUCUAAACUACUUUAGGAUUUAAUUUAGGAUUUAGAAUUUAAUUAAGCUUUGAUUUAGGAUUAGAAUUUUGUUAGGAUUUGAUUUAGAAUUAGGAUUUGAUUAGGAUUUGAUUUAGAAUUUAGGAUUUGGUUAGGAUUUGGGAUUUAUCCAGGGUUUGGUUAGAGUUUAGUUUAGGAUUUAGGAGUCAUUUAGGAUUUGAUUAGGAUUUGGAAUCUAUCUAGGGUUUGGUUAGAGUUUAAUUUAGGAUUCAAGAUUCAUUUAGGAUUAGGUUUAAAAUUUAGAGUUU